rnacentral:rRNA from 1 species
UACGGGGGGGGCAAGCGUUGUUCGGAAUUACUGGGCGUAAAGGGCUCGUAGGUGGCCAACUAAGUCAGACGUGAAAUCCCUCGGCUUAACCGGGGAACUGCGUCUGAUACUGGAUGGCUUGAGUUCGGGAGAGGGAUGCGGAAUUCCAGGUGUAGCAGUGAAAUGCGUAGAUAUCGUGAGGAACACCAGAGGCGAAGGCGGUUACCUGGACAAUUACUGACGCUCAGGCACGAAAGCAUGGGGAGCAAAAGGG